CGUUGGCAGGAGGCUCCAGCAGGCCUGGAGCCAGCUAAUAGGUUCAGGGGUGUCAAGUUCGGGAAACUGAGAGCCACACGACUGUCAUGGCCGUGGAUCUCCAAGUGUGUACUCUGACUCCCGGGGCCUCACAGUUAGAUGUCCAUCCUUCUUCCUGGGGGUCCUGAGCCUCCGUUCAAAAACCUGAGCUUCGGCAAGUCCCACCUCACCCAUGGAGGAGCCCAGCUGCCCAGCUGACCCAGAUGUUCCUAUAAGGAUCUGAUGCACACGACACCUCUGUGAACUGCCCAAAGCAAGGGCAGUCCGGCCCCGCCAACCUUCCUGGAAAGCAAUGUCCAGCCAUAGCAAGGCAAGUCGACAUGUAGACCUGCCUAGAGGCUUCUGGGAAUGAAUUCCCUCCCUGAAUGUCGUGGGAAGAUGUUGUGAACAUUGAGGCUUUGGGGGCCUGGACCGUGGGUUGGCAAGCCAGUUAACCAAGCACAUUCAGAGCUUGGGAAUGGACAGCGCUAGAGCCCCCCUCCCAAGGACAUCAUGGCCUCCACGUGCCUCAUUAGGACAUCUGGACCAGUCGUAGACAUGUGGGCCUGCGCCCUGACUUUGCUCACUUAACCUUGAAGGAGGCAUCAGAGUCCUUGACUGAGACCCUUAGGGACUGUUGCUCCUGGCCAUGUCUACUGCUUCUCCAUCUCAAACUUCAGGUCUGUCUGGAAAGACUUCAGAUGAAAGAAAGGGUUGAGAGCCCAUGGGUGUUGUGGGCACUGAAGGAGCAGAGUUCAGCCCUGAGUGCAGAGCUUGAGACUUGACCUUGAUUAGGAGGGAGAAGGAGCAGGUGCAUUUUAUUUUAUUACUGUAUUUUCUGCAAUCGUGGGCAGGAAGUUGGGGUCCUAUAACACGAGGGAGCACUCACCAUUGGGCCACACAGCCCAGUGCCCGUCCUGACCGAAGGAUGCAGGUACCAUCUGUCCACAAUUUGGUCCUCAGCAGUGCUCCAGGUCUUCCGGAGGACAUUCAAUCCUCACGGGGACACGAGACUGGAGUUCUGAGAUGCCUCACAUAGCCAGGAAGAACCUUGAGGGCAUGCUCCUGUGAGAGCCAUCUGGCUACCACACUGGGCCACCAGUUUCCUCCUAACCUCAGGCCUACCAGGGUUGGAGAUGUGAAGAAGAGAACGAGAACAAGAUGGUGUCAAGGGAUGCGUGCGCCCCCUAGCUGGGGUGCCGAGGCCCCUCCUGCGUGUAUGCCCACUUUGUCCUCACAGCCAGGGUAGCAGGUGCAGCCUGGAAUAGGAAAGGGAGGGGAGCGAAUCCAACCAGGGACAGGCUGGAACCCAGGCCUGCUCACCAGGCUCCCAACAGCCCGUGCACAGCCUGGCCUCCCCACCCUGCCUCACAGCCUCCGGAGGAUGGUGGUGCAGCUUGGGAGGAACCCAUCUGGCCCUGACUCUAGGCUUCCGCGGGAGAUGCUCGCUCCCGAUGGGGCCCCAGCUCCCAGCUGCUCUCCCCGCUGAAAAUAUUUACAUCCAAAUAUGUCCCCGUGUGCCAUGCUUCUGCCUCAAGCCAGCCGGGGCGUCUGUCCUCACCACCUGGGAGGCACGAUGCGACUUCAUCCGCUGCCGCAGCUCCACAGGGCCCAGAGUGAACUAGAAGCCAGGCUGGCUGGCUGGCUGGCUGGCUGGCCGCCACCCACCCUGCAAGGCGCUCUGCCCUGGGGCCUUUGCACCUGCUCCUGGCGUCGCUCCAAGCUGCUUCCCCACAGAGCAUGCGCAGUUCACAGGGGGUCAAGUGGGGUCACAGGCUCACGUCACCUCUCCAAGAAGACUUUCCUGCCCAGCAUCACUCAAAUAAUUUUCUCUGCAGAUGUCUUGCAUCAUGAUGUCAUUUCAUCGAUUGAAUUCCCCCCCCACCCCACCCCCACCUCCCUGUGGUGACACCAACCCUUGGGACAGAAGCUAAGCUCAGAGAAGCUUCCAGUUUCCAGCUUCCAGAUGGGUCUUGAAAAAUAUUGACGAAUGGUUCUGAUGAGUGGGGUAGGGUCAGUGCACAGGGCACGGAACCCUGGCUUCAGACACUUACACCCACCUCCAGUGGUCACCCAAAUCCACGCCACCACUUCCUUAUUCAAGAUAAGGACAGACAGUAGCCACCACAGAGCUUGCUGUGAAAAUGUCCUGUGUCCACCAUCCUGGAGGACUGCAGCUUUGAGGCAGGGGUGGGGUGGGGUGGGACAGCCUAGUCUGAAGUCUCAGAUCAGAAUGGGGUUAGGUUACUCUCCCUCAGAGGUUUGGGAACGAGUCCCACCUCUCUUGAGCAGGACUCCAAAUUCCUCUAUUGCCCCAGGAUCUCUUGGGACCGCCUAUAUUUAGAGCCAAAGCUCCCAAGUUUUAACUUCUAAGCUUUGACUGCACUAAAGCUUAAACGGAGCUUUAAUGAGUUAAAAUGAGGUACUGUGGGACCGGAAAGGUGACUCUUUUGCUCUUGCAGGUGACCUGAGUUUGGUUCCCAGCUCCUGUGCAAGGUGAUACACAAGCUCUUGUGACCCAGCCUCAGGGGGACCCAUUGCCUCUGGCCUCUCCGGGCACUGUAUUCACAUGUGUGUGUAUACCCACAUACAGACACAUAAUUAAAAAUAAUACACAAUAAAAUGAAAAAACUGAGUCCCAGGAGGCUGUGCCCUACCUAGUCCAACCCAGAUAUUUGUAUGGAGGCAUUGGGUGCAGAGACUUCUGGCUGUGUGGACACAGAGGAAGGGCUCUAAGGAUGAAGGUGACCAUCAGCAAAGCCAAGGAGAGAGGCCUCAGAAGAAGCCCAGCCUGACCACACCUUGAGCAUGAAACUCCAGCCUCCAGAAAAUAAGCUGAUAAUCAAAGCCUCCAGCCGCUUCUGCAUCCCAGGAGGUACCUAUAAUCCUGGUGAUCCCUAGAUUGUGGCCACAUUCUUGCAAUAUUUGACUCUGUCUUAUGAAACCCAUAAUGCAUGUUCCCUCCUCCACUGAGAUGCCAGGGUAGCUAGCACCCAGGUGCCAUCAGCAGCCUGGCUGGUCGUGUGCACACCAUGCUUGGGACACUUGUUACACAGGUCCUUUUCUGACCCUGGUUCUGUUCAGUGGGUGGCGGGAACCUUCUUUGCUCCCAGCUCUGCAACCCUGUAUAGCCAGGACAGCCCUGGGUGCUUGCUGCCCUUAUGUCCUUAUUUCUCCAAGGAGAUAUGGGAUAACCUCCAUGAGGUUUGAAAAAGGCUUUCCUUGAGGUUUGAAAACAGCCACAAAAACCUGUCACCCUGUCUGGUGGAAUGGUAAGGUUGGUGUCCCCAGGCUUCUAAGACAGACCACAGAAAAGGUACAAUGUGAUUUUUCUAGGUUAGAAAGCACAACACAGGGCUGGAGAGAUAGCUCAGUGGUCAAGAGUGCUUGCUGCUCCUCCAGAGGACACAAGGUCCGACCCCAGCACCCAUGUGGGGCAGCUCACGACUGUCCACAACUCCAGCUCCAGCAGACAUGACAUCUUCUGUCUUUUUCAGAUACCUGUGUGUACAGAAACACACACACACACACACACAGAGAGAGAGAGAGAGAGAGAGAGAGAGAGAGAGAGAGAGAGAGAGAGAGAGAACAGAACCAGGGGAUAAAAAUAAAUCUAGAAAGAAACAAAGAAACCGUCUGGAACAGCACAGCAUCUGGUUUGUUACUUAAAUGCCACUCAGUGGCUCUGAGCUGCCAGGUGGGUUCCUGAUACCUUGGUCACGUCAGAAGGGCACCUGGUAGACUAGAGGCAGUGGAGGAAGGGCACAGUGAAGGUUGGCAGUGAGGAGGUAGUUGAUAAAGUUGACUGAAGGAACAUGCAGCAGGAGAACUGUGUCGUAGCAGGAGGAGCUCAGGGUCCUGUGUGUGCAGAGGCCCUGGAGCAUGCUAUAGCUAUACCUGCCAAGCCCUGAAUAGCACACAGACCAGUGUGAGUGAACGCAGAGUUCUCAGACCAUCAGUUAGAAAGAUCCCCACACCCUUGAAUCUCUAAAAUCCCAGAGGUCUGGCAUUGGGUUAGCCCACUGGAGUUCCCAGGAGAACCAGUGCCUCAGAGACCUUACAUGAGUGUCUCCCCGCACUAAGCAUGCUCGACCAAACAUACACAGAGAAAGCAGAGUGCUGCAGGAAGCAGGGGACACAGAGAGGGUCCAUGGCUGAGAAGAGUCCUGACUGUCCUGCAACGCUAACAUCCCUGCCUGUUGGGGAAUGGAGGGUUGUGGGAUGAGAAGGGUCAGCUCCUUUCUCUCUCCUCUCUUCUGUCCCCUCACCCAUCCUCCCUCCUCCUAAUCAGGUCACCAGGGGCCAAGUCUCAUGUCCCCAAGUUCAGUACUCUAGCCUAGUGUUUUGAGUUCAGGUGGCCUCAGGAAAGUCCCUACCUGCCAUGCACAAAGACCCAGAAUAAUGGGCACAUCUGUGUCCCUCCAUGGUGUGGCCACUAACUCUGAAGGAUGUCUGAGCUUGAUAUAGGACAGAUGUAGGCUCUGUUGCCUCAGACCGGCCUGCUUGAGAGAAGCCAAGGACAGGUGACAAGGUCAAGCCCAAAUCAACCUAUCCACAGAGACUGUGACUUCUAACCGAAGAUUGGUACCUGUCCAUCUGAACUGUCUUGACUGCAGCUGUUCACAGCAUGCAUACAUUGGUUUCCCCCCUUCCUGCCCCGAAGACAGCUCAGCACUAGAGCAUCCCUGACAUCCAGGAGUGUCUCCGACAUUGUUUCCAGGGAUUCAGUGUUGGCUCGGGUCUCCCAGCCUCCAUUGUUCCACAACAGUCUCCCCUGCGGCAGCUGCCAACACAUCCCCACCCUACUCCUGGAGGAAAAGAAAAAUCUCAACAAAAGCUGGUGAGCCAAUGCCAGAUGAGACAGAUGGGCCACCCUGUGUCACUGCAGUAGAAUAGGUAGACAGAGCAAUUGACCACUCGGAAUGAAGUUCUCAGAAGAACAAAGGGUUCUGCUCGGGAAACCCUGCUUUCUGCUUGCUACUCGGUGCUCUGCCAUCCCGAGGAAGCCAAGGAUACAGGGGAAGCCAAGGAGGAAGGGAGGAGGCAGAGGGGGCUGGAGGAAGCUUGCAGAGGAGUUGCCGGGCAACCUCUGUUGGGCCUCUCCAGGUCAGGAACUGGGAUUGCUUGUAUGGAACUGGCGCUUCCCAUGAAGAGCCAGGGGUUCUGAGGGCCUCAUUUCUCUGCCGGGUUGGAAGCUUAGACUACAAAAGAAUGCUCCCUUCACACUGAGGGCGAGUCUCCUUCUUGGCCUCUGCUGGCCUCACAUGCCACGUGAUCAUCUCUCUCAGAGCCCCAGCAACCUAGGACAGGGUCACACCCUAGAGCCCAUGGUCUCACAGAGGGUGUACCUUGACUGCUAUAGGCUGCUUGCUCAAGGCUAUGUCUUAUUCCCUGACAGGCCCAGGGCAGCUAGGGAGAGCCCCUCAAAGAAAAGAAACAGCUUCUUAGGGGGCCAGGAUGUGGAUGCCAGGGUGGCCUCCUGGAUCCACAGAGAGCAUCAUCUUCAGGACAGGUUUGUGAUGGCGAACAACAUACGUGUAUUCAGUCCCUCUGGCACAAAGACCCUUGCUUUCGAGACUACCCAAACCCCAAGUCACCAAUAUCUACAGAUAUGGCAAGAGAUACUCAGCAGCCACUCAUAGAACACCACUGGACACAGAAGAAUUUAAAAAAAAACAAAACCAAAAAAAAAAACAAAAGACUCAGCAGGCAGAGUGCUUGUCUAUCAUGGACAAUGUCCUAUAACUUAACCCCACAACUGCAUAAACCUGCCACGAUGGCCUAACCUAAGCGCUCAGGAAGUGGAAGCAGAAGGGCCAGAAGUUCAAGGCCAGUCUAGGAUAGAUAGAUGAGAGUGUAAAUACAAGGAAAUAGGGAGAGGGGGAGGGGAGGGGAGAGGGAGAGGGGGAGGGGAAGGGGGAGGGGGAGAGAGAUUGAGAUUUGGUGUUGAUUCUGACCGCAGAAAAUUCUAAAUGCAAACACCGUGAUACAGCAGGUCUGUGGGGGGGUCUAUAGGUGGAGGGGAGGCCAUAGGGCUGUGAAGACUUCCCUAACACAGUGUGAGCUGUCCCAGCACCACCUGGGCCCAAUUCCAGCUCUUUCCCCUCCAGAUGGAGAGUGAUGUUGCAGAGGUUUGAAUAAGAAUGGCUCCUAUAGGUUCCUAUAGUUGCAUGUCAGGGAAUGGAACUCUUUGAAAAGCUUAGAGUAGGAGUUGUGGCCUUGUUGGAGGAAGUGUGUCUCUGAGGGUGAUGCACUUGAGAGUGCAGAAGCCAUGCCAGGGCUAGGCUGUCUUUCUACAGGUCAGGAUGUAGCUCCUCCCCACCAUAACAGACUAAACCUGAAACCGUAAGCAAACCCCAACACAAUGCUUUCAUUUAUAAGUCGCCUUGGUCAUGGUGUCCCUUGACAGCAAUGGGACAGUAGCUAAGACGGUGUGGCUGCCUUUGGCCCUCAUGUCUCCUAAGGAGAAGGAACUAGGUCAUAAGAGGCUGGGGAACCAAGCAGCCUUCCAAGAGGAACAUCAGGCAUGAGGUAGCAUCAGAGAGCAAGUGUCCUACAGAUCAGAGAUGUCAGAAAAGACAGGUCCUGAGGUCCCUCUCUGUUACUUUCCCUAUGCAUUCCCGAAGGUCCAUCCCUUGGCCCUCAGCCCCCAAGGGCUCAUGGGAACAGACUCAAGUGCCCCAGGGUGUCUGCCUCUGCAGGUUUCCUGACAAAUGUCCAUUGCCAACCAUACUGUGGGGGACCUACACCUCCCUUCUGGCCCUUUGUCUUCACCCCUCCACAGUAUAUGGAACCUAUAUGAACAUGUCGGGUAAGACAGGGUUCAAGCCUUGUGUAGCACUUGGGAUGCAGGAGCAGUGGAUGUUCAGGGAACAGAUCCAUGGGCUGAGACCCAGGGGUUCAGAGAGUCGCUGCUCUGGAGACUACCGCUGGAAUCUGUGUGUGCUAACGAAAAAGCUUAAGUUGAAGAGAAAAAACGAAAGUAAUUUGCAGCCUAGGAAAGGCAACCCUCUACCACCAUAUCCACUAGGAUGAAGCCCAAGCUCUGAAGUUAAGCAAAAGACAACAGCAGCAGGCAGAGUCCAGAGUGAGACCUUCAUGAGACCAGACACUCAGCAAGGAGGAACCAGAGAGCAUCCAGUAGCCCAUGGAGGCACUGGUGUUUGGAAACAGUGCCGACUGGGCCUUCAAGGGGGUGGGGGGCGUGUGAUUUAAAAUUUUCUAUUAUAUUUUACUCUCUCUCUUUCUGUGUGUGUGUGUGAGAGAGAGAGAGAGAGUGAGUAAGUGUGUGUCUAUAUGUGAGUGUGUAAGUGUGUGUGUCUAUGUGUGUGUUUGUGUGUAAGUAUGUGUGUCUGUGUGUGAGUGUUUGAGUGUGUGAAUAUGUGUAUGUGUGUGUUUAUGUCAGUGCAUUUGUCUGUGCAUGUGUCUUUGUGUAUAAGUGUGUAUGUGUGUAUGUGUGUGUUUCUAUGUGUGUAUAUAUGAGAGUGUGUGUGUAUAUAUAUGUGUGUGUAUGUGUAUGUCUAUGCAUUUGUCCAUGCAUGUGUCUCUGUAUAUGUGUGUAUGUGCGUGUGUCUCUGUGUAUAUAUGUGGGUAUGUGUGUAUGUGUGUGUGUGUGUGUGUGUGUGUGUGUGUGUGUGUAGGUCAGAGAAUAGAAAAGUACAGAGAGUUGGUUCUCCCCUUCCACUUUCUCUCAGGUUUUCAAGCUUGGUGGCAAGUGCCUUUACCCACUGACCAAUUUCACCAGUCCUACCUGAUGUUUAAGAUUACAGAUAAUAGCCAGACAUGGUAGUGCGUGCCUGUACUUCCAACAUUCAGGAAAUAGAGGCAAAAAAAAUCAGGGGUUCAAGACCAGUCAUAGUUACAUAGUUAGUUGGAGGUCAGCCUGGGCUACUUGAGCCCUUGUCUUAAAUUAAAAAAAAAAAAAAAAAGUUUAGUGAAAGCCCGUGGUCGAGCCCCACAGCCUCUAAACUGGACCGUGAUCUGCACGUGCACAGAAAAAUGUUACUAGAAACUUCAUUUUUAAAAAGCAAUGCAAAUUUGUUUUCCUCGCAGAUACAAGUUAAGUUCCCUUCCAUUCUGUUCUGAGGUUACUUCAAUGGCAGCACUAGUUUACACAGAGGGUCCAGUUUCAGGAGGAAACCUGGCUAGCCACACCAGUGACUCAUCAGAUCCAAAAGCUUUGACUCCAAGCGUCUCCCAAAUCCUUCCAGGUGCCUAAAACACCCGUCACUCUCUCAGCCAGGCCUACCAGGAUCUCCAUGACCACGACACACCUGCAAACAGCCCACCGACUGGAGGAAGGGCGGCACCCUUGGUGUGACUGUGAAGGCGGGGUUGGAGGCCCCAAGGGAAGCUGACCAGCAGGCACCAGGUUCUGUGGCUGCCUGCUGCAACAGAGUAUUCAGAAUGCUACCAGUACACUGUCCAGGCCUAUUUAGAGCUCCCUUUAAAGCGCCCUUCAACACCAAAGAAAGAUAGAUGGAGUGAGAAAUUACGAAGGAAACAGUGCUCACGCCUAAGGGAGAUUUUCUCAUCUCUGCCUGUUUCUGCCUCUGUGGUUCAGGCACCUGCUGCCCCGGGCCAGCUGCACUUCUGGCUUCCCAGACCCAAAGGAAGUGAAAUUAAAAGAGAUUGCUGAGGAGAGCAACUCCCCAAGAAGGGUGAGCCUCCAGCCCCAACCUCACAGUCAUAAAGAAACCAGGGGCUGCCCUCCACACUGGCCCCUUAAAGAGAAAGUGGCUUCAGAAGGGGCUUCCCCACCAAUAAGCAGGCAGCACCCAGGCUCUCAGGAUGCCUGCUUCUGUGGGUCAUUGCAUUGUGUGCUGGGUCAUAUACAGGCUGGACUCUCCCUUGGGACACCUUGGUUUCCUGCGGCUGAGGGACCCGGGCUUGAUGUAACAGUGGCCAAGGUAGAUAGGACUUUGUGCCUGACAGUUUGGGUCAUAGAUGCCUACAGAUUCACCAAUCUGGGUUAAGCCUGGCUGAAAAAAUGCCAGCCCUUUUUCAGCUGCUGGGUGACCUUGCUGAGCCUCCAGGUGAUGCACUGGUGGCAGUGAUGUGCUGGUGGUGGCAACGCUGACACUUGUGCCUCACUAGAGGCUGAGUGGGUUCUCCGAGGUCACAGGCAGGCCUCGCACAUCCAGGUGUUCAGCAGAUGCGCUUCCUGUGUGGUUUGCUGAAUUUAUUUCUGUUCUCAGAAGCACCUUAAGGGGCAGCCGUAGAGUUUUCCAGAGAUGUAAGCAAGCCCCUAAAACAUUGGGUCCCAAUUCCAACCCUCACAAGGGGUUAAUUCCAGCCUAGGGACCCAAAAGCAGGCUUGUCCUCUCCAGAUGUACAUCUGAUGAUCACAGUCCCCGUCCCGGAUUUCCACGUGUCACCCAGCCAUGCGCUGUGUCACCUGCUCUCUGGUUCUGAGUUUGCUCAGCCCCACCCUGUACUGGGCAGGGUUGGUGGCCAGCACUGGACAGGCUCACCUGUCACCCAGUGUAUGGCUCCUGCUACCCACCCUAACUAGACAAACCUCACUUGGGACCAAGAAGCAGAAGUUGGUGGCCUGCCGCUCAGCUCACAAGGAGCUGCACAGGUCACUGUUCUCCCCCCUCCCCCCAAUCUGGAGCGGCUGGGACUUACGGCCCUCCUUGAUGGGUUUAGAGACUAGAGACAUCAACCUGCAGACCCUAUCCUUUCUGUAUAAAGUGGAUUGCUAUGAGA